rnacentral:rRNA from 1 species
GAUGAACGCUGGCGGCGUGCUUAACACAUGCAAGUCGAACGGAAAGGCCCAAGCUUGCUUGGGUACUCGAGUGGCGAACGGGUGAGUAACACGUGGGUGAUCUGCCCUGCACUUCGGGAUAAGCCUGGGAAACUGGGUCUAAUACCGGAUAGGACCACUUCUUGGAUGUUGUGGUGGAAAGUUUUUUCGGUGUGGGAUGAGCUCGCGGCCUAUCAGCUUGUUGGUGGGGUAAUGGCCUACCAAGGUGUCGACGGGUAGCCGGCCUGAGAGGGUGUACGGCCACAUUGGGACUGAGAUACGGCCCAGACUCCUACGGGAGGCAGCAGUGGGGAAUAUUGCACAAUGGGCGCAAGCCUGAUGCAGCGACGCCGCGUGGGGGAUGACGGCCUUCGGGUUGUAAACUCCUUUCGCUAGGGACGAAGCGUUUUUGUGACGGUACCUGGAGAAGAAGCACCGGCUAACUACGUG